GAUGAAGAACGCAGCGAAAUGCGAUAAGUAAUGUGAAUUGCAGAUUUCAGUGAAUCAUCGAAUCUUUGAACGCACCUUGCGCCCUUUGGCCAUUCCCAAGGGCAUGCCUGUUUGAGUAUCAUGAACACCUCAACUCUUUAUGGUUUUCCAUGAUGAGCUUGGACUCUGGGGGUUUUGCUGGCUCACAGUCGGCUCCUCUAAAAUGAAUCAGCUUACCAGUGUUUGGUGGGUAUCAUGGGUGUGAUAACUAUCUACGCUUGUGGUUUUUCCACCAGGUAACCUUCAGCAGUGGAGGUUCGCUGGAGCUCAUAGAUGUCUCUCCUCAGUGAGGACAGCCCUUUGAAUGUUUGAUCUCAAAUCAGGUAGGACUACCCGCUGAACUUAAGCAUAUCAAUAAGCGGAGGA
rnacentral:misc_RNA from 1 species